GGAGGGCAAGUCUGGUGCCAGCAGCCGCGGUAAUUCCAGCUCCAAUAGCGUAUAUUAAAGUUGUUGCGGUUAAAAAGCUCGUAGUUGGAUUUCGGCGAUCAGGGGCCGGUGAUAUAUUUGUAUCUACUGGCCCAUUUGGUCGUAUUUUUGAAAGAGGGUUUGGGGUCCCCUUCACUGGGUGUCCUAGGUCGCUUUCAGGUUUACUUUGAAAAAAUUAGAGUGCUCAAAGCAGGCUUUAACGCUUGAAUAUUCGUGCAUGGAAUAAUAGAAUAGGAAGUUCGUUUCUAUUUUGUUGGUUUUAGGAUAACGACUUAAUGAUUAAUAGGGACAAUCGGGGGAAUUAGUAUUCAAACGACAGAGGUGAAAUUCUUGGACCGUUUGAAGACUAACUACUGCGAAAGCAUUUUCCAAGAGUGUUUUCAUUAAUCAAGAACGAAAGUUAGAGGUUCGAAGGCGAUCAGAUACCGCCCUAGUUCUAACCAUAAACGAUGCCAGCUAGCGAUCUCAGGGUGCGUAUUUCUAAGGCCCCUGAGGGAGCUUCCGGGAAACCAAAGCUUGUGGGUUCCGGGGGAAGUAUGGUUGCAAAGCUGAAACUUAAAGGAAUUGACGGAAGGGCACCACCAGGAGUGGAGCCUGCGGCUUAAUUUGACUCAACACGGGAAAUCUCACCAGGCCCGGACACCGGAAGGAUUGACAGAUUGAGAGCUCUUUCUCGAUUCGGUGGGUGGUGGUGCAUGGCCGUUCUUAGUUGGUGGAGUGAUUUGUCUGGUUAAUUCCGAUAACGAACGAGACUCUGUCCUGCUAAAUAGUAAUGUGAUUCUUUUGUCACAUUGUCUUCUUAGAGGGACUGGCGGAUUUAAACCGCACGAGAUUGAGCAAUAACAGGUCUGUGAUGCCCUUAGAUGUUCUGGGCUGCACACGCGCUACACUGAAUGGAUCAGCGUGCUUUCCCUGUCCGAUAGGACCGGGUAACCCGCUGAACCCCAUUCGUGGUAGGGAUUGGAGCUUGCAAUUAUUCUCCAUGAACCAGGAAUUCCCAGUAAGCGCAAGUCAUAAGCUUGCGUUGAUUACGUCCCUGCCCUUUGUACACACCGCCCGUC
rnacentral:rRNA from 1 species